rnacentral:rRNA from 1 species
CCUACGGGAGGCAGCAGUGGGGAAUAUUGCGCAAUGGGCGAAAGCCUGACGCAGCGACGCCGCGUGAGGGAUGAAGGUCUUCGGAUCGUAAACCUCUGUCAGCAGGGAAGAACGGUCACUGUGCUAAUCAGCAGUGAAUUGACGGUACCUGCAAAGGAAGCACCGGCUAACUCCGUGCCAGCAGCCGCGGUAAUACGGAGGGGGCGAGCGUUAAUCGGAAUUACUGGGCGUAAAGCGCUCGUAGGCGGUAUGUCAAGUCAAGGGUGAAAUCCCCGCGCUCAACGUGGGAACUGCCUUUGAAACUGGCAAACUGGAGUGUGGGAGAGGAUAGUGGAAUUCGAGGUGUAGGAGUGAAAUCCGUAGAUAUCUGGAGGAACAUCAGUGGCGAAGGCGACUAUCUGGAACAUAACUGACGCUGAGGAGCGAAAGCGUGGGUAGCAAACAGGAUGAGAUACCCUUGUAGUC